UGCGUGUGAAUACCAGCCCAGUUCAUCAUA
rnacentral:piRNA from 1 species